rnacentral:rRNA from 1 species
GGAAUUUUGCCCAAUGGACGAAAGGCUGAGGCAGCAACUCCGCGUGAGGGACGAAGGCUCUCGGGUCGUAAACCUCUUUUCUCAGGGAAGAUCCACGACGGUACCUGAGGAAGAAGCGACGGCUAACUAAGUGCCAGCAGCCGCGGGAAUACGUAGGUGGCGAGCGUUGUCCGGAUUUACUGGGCGUAAAGAGCGCGCAGGCGGCUGGUCAAGUCCGAUGUGAAAUCUCCCGGCUUAACUGGGAAACUGCAUCGGAAACUGAUCGGCUUGAAGGUGGGAGAGGGUAGUGGAAUUCCCGGUGUAGUGGUGAAAUGCGUAGAUAUCGGGAGGAACACCAGUGGCGAAGGCGACUACCUGGCCCACUCUUGACGCUGAGGCGCGAAAGCUAGGGGAGCGAAC